GAUGAACGCUAGCGGCAGGCUUAAUACAUGCAAGUCGAGGGACAGCACAGGUAGCAAUACUGGGUGGUAACCGGCAAACGGGUGCGGAACACGUACACAACCUUCCUGUAAGUGGGGGAUAGCCCAGAGAAAUAUGGAUUAAUACCCCGUAAUAGAGUUGAAUGGCAUCAGUUGAUUAUUAUAGCUACGGCGCUUAAUGAUGGGUGUGCGGCUGAUUAGAUAGUUGGCGGGGUAACGGCCCACCAAGUCGACGAUCAGUAGCUGAUGUGAGAGCAUGAUCAGCCACACGGGCACUGAGACACGGGCCCGACUCCUACGGGAGGCAGCAGUAAGGAAUAUUGGUCAAUGAACGCAAGUCUGAACCAGCCAUGCCGCGUGAAGGAUUAAGGUCCUCUGGAUUGUAAACUUCUUUUAUUUGGGACGAAAAAGGGCCUUUCUAGGUCAACUGACGGUACCAGAUGAAUAAGCACCGGCUAACUCCGUGCCAGCCGCCGCCGUAAAAC
rnacentral:rRNA from 1 species